AGAUGGAUGAACAAGAGAGCCCUGCCGGCAGCUGUGGAAUGAAGGCCGUGCAGAGAGGGCAGGCUUUCCGAGAAGGAUAGAGAGAGAAACAUUUGUUUGGAUUCUGAUGACUGAUAUAUGUGGAUGAAUGGGACGGUUUUGUUGAAAAUAUUACUCGGCAAAAAGUGUUUUGAUCAUCUUUCUUCUCUCCCAACAGUCCUCCCCCUCCAAUUUCACUCUCUCUCUCUCUCUCUCUCUCUCUCUUCCACACUCUUCCUGCUUUGAUCUCUCUCUUCUCACUGAUCUUUUCCUCUCUCCCCCAUCAAAUUUGAAAUGUUUGGCAGGUUUUGUUCAGAAUACCGUGCAGAUGUGCUUGUGUUUUUCAAGCUCCAAAUUCGCAAUGUUACCAACAGAGAGCCAAAGGCUAAAAUUUCAGAGACACGUCAUUUAAAACAUUAUUCAUUUAUAAUCUUUGGCUUCCUCUCAGAAAUCCAAAGAAAGAAUGUUAGGUCUGCCGCUCGUGAUCAUCUGAAUCUUGUACUACUUUCAAGUAUAUAUAGGCCUAACUUACUUGUGGUUUAAUUCCCUUGACUUUAAAGCCAGAGGCUCGUAUUGACUUUUACCAAGCUUCUGGAAACUUAUGUCCACAUGACUAACAUUGAUUUUACUACAUUUUUAAGGUACAGGGGAGAGCAGCUGAUGUGGCCUCCUGCUGAUGCAGUGCUGAUCAGUGAUCAGAUGAUGAGGACUGGGCGCUGUUGGGUUUCUUACAGAGCACUUCCCUGAGCAGCACUGACAUAAAUCAGGCCCACAGAGCUGCACUGCCCCACAGGAAUAUCCUCUCCCCUCUGAACACUUACUGUAUGUUUGUGUGUGUUUAUGAAGGAGAGACAGAGUGAAUAAAGAUGGGAGAGAGAGGAAUGGAGAAGAAUACAGUGAGAGAUAUCAAGAGAGACAGCCACUUAAGCAGAGACUAAACUAUUUAACCGUUUCACCCAGCUUUGCUCAACCUGUCAGGCCUGGCUGACUCUGAUUGAGUGUGUAUGUGCACUUUACGGUAUCAGAGACACAGCAGAUUAAGUAAUAGCCUACAAUAAUGCAUUCUGUAAAAUAUUAUAAAUAACAAAAAACUUCAGUGGAUCUAAAGUUGGACUGAAUCAAUUUCAGAUUUCAGGCUUGGAGAGCAACACCUAUGGAUCUUGUUUAGUUUUGGUUUCAUUCUUUACCAGUGUUGCUUCUCUCAACUCUGUCCUCUCUUUCACCAAUCCAUCCAUUCUCCAAGGCCUUGCACUCUCAGAUCUGCUUCUCCUCAUUCUGCCUCUCUCUCUCUCUCUUUCUCUCCCAGGAUCUUUAGGUUGAUUUAUUGCUUCUUGUUGGAAAGGUUGGCGUUUUAAUAACUCAAGUCCUCCACACCAGAACGAGAAAAAAAAAAAAAAGCUGGAAAAAACUUCUGU